rnacentral:rRNA from 1 species
UACGGAGGGUGCAAGCGUUAUCCGGAUUCACUGGGUUUAAAGGGUGCGUAGGUGGGUAGGUAAGUCAGUGGUGAAAUCUCCGAGCUUAACUCGGAAACUGCCAUUGAUACUAUUUAUCUUGAAUAUUUUGGAGGUGAGCGGAAUAUGUCAUGUAGCGGUGAAAUGCUUAGAUAUGACAUAGAACACCAAUUGCGAAGGCAGCUUACUACACAGUCAUUGACACUGAGGCACGAAAGCGUGGGGAUCAAACAGG